GAUGAACGCUGGCGGCGUGCCUAAUACAUGCAAGUCGAGCGAACGGACGAGAAGCUUGCCUCUCUGAUGUUAGCGGCGGACGGGUGAGUAACACGUGGAUAACCUACCUAUAAGACUGGGAUAACUUCGGGAAACCGGAGCUAACACCGGAUAAUAUUUUGAACCGCAUGGUUCAAAAGUGAAAGACGGUCUUGCUGUCACUUAUAGAUGGAUCCGAGCUGCAUUAGCUAGUUGGUAAGGUAACGGCUUACCAAGGCAACGAUGCAUAGCCGACCUGAGAGGGUGAUCAGCCACACUGGAACUGAGACACGGUCCAGACUCCUACGGGAGGCAGCAGUAGGGAAUCUUCCGCAAUGGGCGAAAGCCUGACGGAGCAACGCCGCGUGAGUGAUGAAGGUCUUCGGAUCGUAAAACUCUGUUAUUAGGGAAGAACAUAUGUGUAAGUAACUGUGCACAUCUUGACGGUACCUAAUCAGAAAGCCACGGCUAACUACGUG
rnacentral:rRNA from 1 species